rnacentral:rRNA from 1 species
UACGGAGGGGGCUAGCGUUGUUCGGAAUCACUGGGCGUAAAGCGCACGUAGGCGGCUUUGUAAGUUAGAGGUGAAAGCUCGGGGCUCAACUCCGGAAUUGCCUUUAAGACUGCAUCGCUAGAAUUGUGGAGAGGUAAGUGGAAUUCCGAGUGUAGAGGUGAAAUUCGUAGAUAUUCGGAAGAACACCAGUGGCGAAGGCGACUUACUGGACACAUAUUGACGCUGAGGUGCGAAAGCGUGGGGAGCAAACAGG